rnacentral:piRNA from 1 species
UAUCCAUGAUAUAUAAUGACC